rnacentral:tRNA from 1 species
GCGGAUGUGGCGGAAUUGGUAGACGCGCUAGAUUUAGGUUCUAGUGUCUCACGGCGUAAGAGUUCGAGUCUCUUCAUCCGCA